UCCGUAGUGAACCUGCGGAAGGAUCAUUAC
rnacentral:rRNA from 1 species